CUAUCAUCAGCAGAGGCGGGACAUCGCUGCGGCCGGUGAUAGGCUGAAGGAUCUGUGACGUCCCAACACCAGGAAGCAGCAAUAACAGCGGAGGGACCAUGAGGCCGGUGCCUUAGCAACGGGGGAACGGAGGACGAAGCCCCGAUGUCUUCAGAUUGCCUGUACCGAUCAUGAUGUACAAGCGGCAUAAAAGACGAAGCAAAGUGGUGGACAGAAGACACUGGCAACACCGAUUAUUGAAAAAUGUGACAGCUGUGCAACUUUUUAUUUCUGGAACCAGGAGUGAUGGCGGCAGUUUGAGGCUGGCUUUUGCCAUUUGCAUCCAUAUAUCUCUAAGGACUAGGUUCACUUCCCCAGAAACCUGUUCUGUGCACCCUGUUGACAAGGGUAACAGGCAGAGGCAGACAGGGAAGGGUUAACAGGGCGGUCAGCUGUAUCCGUGGCAACCCUGUUCAACUUACGUGCUAGAGGAACAAGUGGGGAUUGCUGUGAUCUCCUUUGCCCUAUAUGAAGAUGGCCGCGGUGAAAAGGGAGCUUCAGAGCGCAGACGCUUACGCACAUCUUAGCAACAACUAGCCGAUACUUAGCAGUGACGCCACUUCCGCCUCCAGACUGAGCGCUGACAGGAUUGGCGUUCUGGACGCCAUAGCACAUGGCUUUGUUUACAUGCUGUCUCCCGUGUCAACCCGGUGAGUGCCGUGUCCCCGCCCAGACAAUUAAGAUUAUGCACCUGCACAUGGACAUUGUUAUAUUUUUUUUAUCUGUAUAUGCUAUAGAUAGCAUUUAACUGUACGGCACUUUUGCGUCCCGAUAUGGGAAGCAUGACUUAUGUUUACACUUUGCACCGAUCACUUUAUAUUAUUUGUAGAUUAAUUGUUUACUUUAUUGAUGUAAUAUGACGUUACUAAUUGAAAGGUCCUGCGUGGCCAUAUAUACUCGCAUGUUUGCACAUUGUAUUGCUUGAUAAUGGCUGGGUGAGCCAGCCGAAACGUCACCACUUUUCACGUUUGUGUGAAUAAAGACCUAACAUUUUGCCCCUUAUGGGUGUGCAGUUGCCUUUCGUUUUCUAUUUGGAGGGAUUCGUGACUGGGACCUGAAGCAAUUGAACGCACCCUAACGCCUCAGGAGUGC